rnacentral:rRNA from 1 species
AACGAACGCUGGCGGCAGGCCUAACACAUGCAAGUUGAACGAGGAUUUAUCCUAGUAGCGGACGGGUGAGUAAUACGUGAGAAUCUGCCUUUAGGAGGGGAAUAACAGUUGGAAACGACUGCUAAUGCCCCAUAUGCUUACGAGUGAAAUGAUUUUCGCCUGAAGAUGAGCUCACGCCUGAUUAGUUGUUGGUAGGGUAAUGGCCUACCAAGACUACGAUCAGUAGCUGGUUUGAGAGGAUGAUCAGCCACACUGGAACUGAGACACGGUCCAGACUUCUACGGAAGGCAGC